rnacentral:lncRNA from 1 species
UUUGGUGCAAGGCUGCCGAAUCUGGUCAUUAGGGAAUGCAGCUGCAAAGAAUGCAAGACCAAGAAAAGAACACAAUGAAGCAUUAAUGUUUCAUAAUCAACAAUACAGGUAUCUAUAUUAUAGGAUCAUUAGAGUGUUGAGGUGAGAAAUAGAGAAGUUUGUUCUCCAAACAUACUAAUGUCUUGCAUUUUUCUCGAGCAAGGUUUUGUCAUGUAUGGUUAGUUCUAUUUUCUCCGUUCCCAUCAUUUUGCUUCCUAGAAGCAAUAGUUAUUUGUGUAAUCGAAUAAUUUCUAAAGAGACAAAAAAAAAGGAAAGGAAAGAACUAUUGCCGUCUUGUUUCCUAUCUCCGUCACUAUUGUUGCUUUUACCUUGAUGUGACUGGAGAGACAAGCGAACGGAGUAUGCAGAAGAGGGAAGAAACAAGAGACAGUCCACCACAUGAACACAAACUCCCACUAUGCCUUCCUCUACUCAGGCAGGUCCUCCACCCUUCUCUCUUCCCAUGUGAGGCUAUUUUCUCAUGCAAAAAAUUGCCCCAUCAUCAACAUGGGUCUCACCAUAUCACAGUGCCUCUCCUCCAUUGAGUCUCUCCAGUCCAUGCUUGGAAUCUGAUUUUUUCCCUCUCUAGUGUAGUAUAAAAACAGCGGGAAAAAAAAAGUCAAAACAGCAAAAAAAAAAAAUGAAAACAAAAAAGUCAAGGUAUAUAUAUCUCUUCUUCUCACAAGGACCCAAGUACCAAGGAUUUUAAUUUCCCCUAGACCUAUACAAAGUGGACAUAUCGAUCGGUACCACCUAUUCCUCUCCUUCCUUCCUCUUCCUCUUCUUUCUUCCUCCAAUGUCUCCAAUUCUUCCUUCUUCUUCCUUUGUUACCUCCUCUUCUUCCUUCUUUUUCCUGCUCUCUUUCACUAUCCUCCUCUUUCUUCACUUGUCCCCUUCUUCCUUUCCAUUCCAUCCUCCCUCCUCCUGUUCAUUCCUCUUCUCCAUGUUCUUUUUCCUCUUUGAGUCUUCACUAUCAUGCAUCAGUACAUCGGUAUUGGUUGGUACAUAUGCGUUCGGCUAAGGAUUGGUACACAUGGUCGAUACUAGACGACAAUUCAUGCUGUAGAUAUCACCCAACUCAAUCUCACAUCUCUCCACAAUAACAACAUAAAAAAGAAAGGAACGCCAAAAGAAAAAACAAAUAAAACAUCCUAUCACAUGCCACCUUUUGUAACAAUGUUGAUAUGGUGCAGGCAGUAUUUACAUACAAGGAGCAAACAAGUGCAGCCUGCACCAGGCUGAUAUGUCCCGACCAAAGUGUAAUUUUACCUAAAGGGUGAGACUACCCGGAUAGUCAGUGGUUAGCUGUUAGAAAGGUUAUGGGGGCUAUUAAAAGCCCCAAAGGCCCAAACAUCUGCCUUCACUCUCUCUCUCUCUCUCUCACUCCCUCACUUUCUUUUUCUCUCUAAUCUUUCUAAGAAUUCACUUAAUUCCCUCUUAACCCCCUUCGAUCGAUUUAUUUAAUUUCCAGUCCUACAAGGAUUAUUCUGAACCAAUGCUCAAUCAGAUCUCUGCAGCAGAGAACUUAUGUUAUCCUUUACUAGGUACCAGGUGGUGCAAAUAUUUAUGAUUUGUCAACAUACUGUAUCCGGUGGCACAAAUAUCUGUGAUUUUUUUUCCUUUAUUAUGUGUCCACAGAUUCCUUUUUAUUGUCACAAAAGAAAGCAAUGCUUUCCUUUUCUGGAUCUCAAUUACCAUGCUAGAAUAAAAACUCCAAUCACUUGCACAGAAAUGUUGAGUCUUUCAGAUCCAAAUAUAAGAGCAUCAACCAAAUGCUAGCUUAUACCACACCUUCUUGACUGCCUUAAAUCACCCUUCCACAAACAGACACUUAGAUAUGCAUUGGUUCAUAUUGACAGUAUCAAGUUGAUGUUGCCCAGAUAUGUCUUAGUUUAUACUUAAUAUUGGAAUUGUCCUCUGAGGAAAACUGAAGAAAUUUCACCAAAAUAAAAUAUUUUUUUGUCCACUUCUCUUUACAUCACCUCUGUGAAAAGUACCUAACAAUUAUCAAACAUAUACUGACACAAACUUCACUUGACGAUCAAAUUUCCAACUCGAUUCAGGAAGAUACAGGUUAUAGUAGACGAACCAACAACCACCACAAAAACCUAAAAGAGUUAUGGUAAGACAUUUGAAGAUUCUAUAGUAAAGUGGCAUACAAAAGAGGGUGCCAAAAUUGAUAACCUUCUUCAUUAUCAAUAAUUAUAUUCAGUAAGUCCAUUUCACAAAUCAUAGACAACCAAAAUAAGCCAUUGAUUUCCAUGUCUCUAUAAGCACCCUCCAAAAUGGGCUAGAAGCUGAAACACCAGAGCUCCUAGAAUCAACAGGCAGAUGCAAUAAUCUAAACCACCACAAGCGUCUCGAGCCAACUAAAAUCCCCCACUCCGCUCCCUGUCUAAAGGGAAAAUCGAAACUACUCGAAAGCCAACCAAAAAAGCUGGCAAGAAGAGAAUAACAUUACCGAUCAGACUAAUAUCUGUGAGGAUCAAGAUUAGGUUAGCAUCACUAAACAAGAAAAAAAAAACCCUAGAAUCAUGAAGAAAAUAGAAACCUAAUUCUAAGAAUCCCCAGAGAAUUGAAGGAAAAUUUUUGGGCAUAUUGACGAAAGAGGGAAGAAAACAGGAGAGAAGAGGCAAGCUUGAAAAAGAAGAGAUCGAGCCACUGAUGAUAAACGUAUCGAUAUUGGGAAAUGAAAUCAACAGGCGAUUAAAUCACCUCAAACUCCUACGCCACUCGUUGCCUAGAAGAAACAUCAAAACUACUUUUUGUUGGUAAGGAGAGAAUAACAUUAUACAUCAAAACAACAGCAGUGAAGAUCAAGAAAACCUCACAAGGUGAAAAGAAAGACAUCGUGGAAAACUGAAACCCUAAUUCUAGCAACCAACAAAGGGAUUGACGGAAAACUUUAGGCCGAUUGAGGAUCAGAAGCAUCGGUUCUGUGCCACACAAAGACGAAAAGGAGAAAAUAGGAGAGAAGAGGCAAACCUGCAGAAGAAGAGAUCAGAUUACUAUGCGUCUCGAGAAUGUUUAUUGUGCGGAGAACGGCGACAUCACAGUGAACUCGUUGACAAAGAUCUCGAACGCAGGGCCGUAAAAUCCGACCGACACCAAAUCAAGUUUCGAGAAAUCGGUUUCGGAUUACCUCAUCACAAGAUUGGUAUUGAGAUAAGAUGAUUUAGCGAAGGAAUAGAAAAUUAAGCCCUAGUGUUUGGUAAUAUGUAUUGAAAGCUU